AUUGAACGCUGGCGGCAGGCCUAACACAUGCAAGUCGAACGGUAGCACAGAGAGCUUGCUCUCGGGUGACGAGUGGCGGACGGGUGAGUAAUGUCUGGGAAACUGCCCGAUGGAGGGGGAUAACUACUGGAAACGGUAGCUAAUACCACAUAACGUCGCAAGACCAAAGUGGGGGACCUUCGGGCCUCACACCAUCGGAUGUGCCCAGAUGGGAUUAGCUAGUAGGUGGGGUAAUGGCUCACCUAGGCGACGAUCCCUAGCUGGUCUGAGAGGAUGACCAGCCAAACUGGAACUGAGACACGGUCCAGACUCCUACGGGAGGCAGCAGUGGGGAAUAUUGCACAAUGGGCGCAAGCCUGAUGCAGCCAUGCCGCGUGUAUGAAGAAGGCCUUCGGGUUGUAAAGUACUUUCAGCGGGGAGGAAGGCUGUGAAGUUAAUAACUUCACCGAUUGACGUUACCCGCAGAAGAAGCACCGGCUAACUCCGUGCCAGCCGCCGCAGUAA
rnacentral:rRNA from 1 species